rnacentral:rRNA from 1 species
AUUGAACGCUGGCGGCAGGCCUAACACAUGCAAGUCAACUGUGGCGGACGGGUGAGUAACGCGUAAAGAACUGUCCUCACAGAUAGGGACAACAUUUGGAAAGGAAUGCUAAUACCUGAUACUGUGAGAGAGCUUUGCGUCACAUUAGCUAGUUGGAGAGGUAACGGCUCACCAAGGCGAGGAUGGGUAGCCUGCCUGAGAGGGUGAUCGGCCACAAGGGGACCGAGAGACGGCCCUUACUACUACGGGAGGCAGCAGUGGGGACUAUUGGACAAUGGACCAAAGGCUGAUCCAGCAAUUCGGUGUGAACGAUUAAGUUUUCGGAAUGUCAAGUGUUUUAAGUUGGGAAGCAGUACCAACCCAAGAAGGGACGGCUAAAUACGUGCCAGCAGCCGCGGUAAUAC